UAAUUCUGAUGAUGAAUUUGAGAAUUUCCCUUCAGCGGAAGGAAACUGGUGGAGAUCAUGUAUCUUGUAUCAAGUAUUUAAUAACUUUAGGACGUCUAGAAACAGAAGAAGAUCUAGGGUUAGUAAUGCAAGAAGAGGAAACCGCCAUUUGGGUUAUGAUGCUUCAAACUCUGAUGAGAGUUCUGUGACAUCUGUAGAAUAUGUAGACUAUGGGGUUGAGGAGCUUGAUGAUGGUUUUGUAAGGAUUGCUGGCGUCUCAAGGAGAAGAGCUGAUAGUCGCAGUUCUCGGAGAAGACGUUCCCGCUUCUAUGACAAUUAGGUAAUAAAGGAUCUACUGGAAAGACUGGAG
rnacentral:misc_RNA from 1 species